AUUGAACGCUGGCGGCAGGCCUAACACAUGCAAGUCGAGCGGAUGAAGGGAGCUUGCUCCUGGAUUCAGCGGCGGACGGGUGAGUAAUGCCUAGGAAUCUGCCUGGUAGUGGGGGAUAACGUCCGGAAACGGGCGCUAAUACCGCAUACGUCCUGAGGGAGAAAGUGGGGGAUCUUCGGACCUCACGCUAUCAGAUGAGCCUAGGUCGGAUUAGCUAGUUGGUGGGGUAAAGGCCUACCAAGGCGACGAUCCGUAACUGGUCUGAGAGGAUGAUCAGUCACACUGGAACUGAGACACGGUCCAGACUCCUACGGGAGGCAGCAGUGGGGAAUAUUGGACAAUGGGCGAAAGCCUGAGCCAGCCAUGCCGCGUGUGUGAAGAAGGUCUUCGGAUUGUAAAGCACUUUUAGUUGGGAGGAAGAGCAGUAAGUUAAUACCUUGCUGUUUUGACGGUACCAACGGAAUAAGCACCGGCUAACUUCGUG
rnacentral:rRNA from 1 species